rnacentral:RNase_P_RNA from 2 species
AGAGUAAGUUAUUCAAUCGCAUCAUUUUUGAUGAGGAAAGUCUGCGCUCCACAGAGCAGGAUGCCAGUUAACGACUGGUAGGGGCGACCCUAAGGCUAGUGCAACAGAGAUAUACCGCCUUGAAAAAGGUAAGGGUGGAAAGGCGAGGUAAGAGCUCACCAGGUUUUCAGUGAUGAAAAUGCUAUGUAAACCCCAUUCGGAGCAAGACCAAAAUAGGACAAAACAGAUGCUGCUCGCAUCUGCCGGGAGGUAGGUCGCUUGAAUUAUUUGGUGACAAAUAAUCUAGAUAGAUGAUUGAACAAGACAGAACGCAGCUUAUAAACUUACUCAUUAA